UACGUAGGGGGCAAGCGUUGUCCGGAUUUAUUGGGCGUAAAGAGCUCGUAGGCGGUGUGUCACGUCGGCCGUGAAAACCUGCAGCUUAACUGUGGGCAUGCGGUCGAUACGGGCAUCACUGGAGUUCGGCAGGGGAGACUGGAAUUCCUGGUGUAGCGGUGAAAUGCGCAGAUAUCAGGAGGAACACCGGUGGCGAAGGCGGGUCUCUGGGCCGAUACUGACGCUGAGGAGCGAAAGCGUGGGGAGCAAACAGG
rnacentral:rRNA from 1 species